rnacentral:rRNA from 1 species
CCUACGGGAGGCAGCAGUGAGGAAUAUUGGUCAAUGGACGAGAGUCUGAACCAGCCAAAUAGCGUGAAGGAUGACUGCCCUAUGGGUUGUAAACUUCUUUUAUAAAGGAAUAAAACGAGGCACGUGUGCCUUUUUGCAUGUACUUUAUGAAUAAGGAUCGUCUAACUCCGUUCCAGCAGCCGCGGUAAUACGGAGGAUCCGAGCGUUAUCCGGGUUUAUUGGGUUUAAAGGGAGCGGAGAUGGGUUUUUAAGUCAGUUGGGAAAGUUUGCGGCUCAACCCUAAAAUUGCAAUUGAUACUGGCAGUCUUGAGUACAGUUGAGGUAGGCGGAAUUCGUGGUGUAGCGGUGAAAUGCUUAGAUAUCACGAAGAACCCCGAUUGCGAAGGCAGCUUACUAAACUGUGACUGACAUUGAUGCUCGAAAGUGUGGGUAUCAAACAGGAUUAGAUACCCGAGUAGUC